CUUGUGUGUGUGUGUGUGUGUAUGUUUGCUGGAAGGUGGAAGAAGAAGGGGCAGUAGCAGGGAAGAAAGAGCGGACAUUGGGCCAGUGUAAUAUUUCACACAGGAAACCAUCCUACUGACAUUCCAGGAGGACAUGAAGUGAUAUUUUCAGAGAGCUGAUGCCUCUAUACCAGGAAGUUCCCAGCGCUUUAUAGGUCCAGAGGUAGGGUGGCUGGUGGCUUCAUGCUAUAGCUUUUUAUCUUUCAUCCAGCUCCCUCCCUGGUCAAAAGAUGGCCGCAGCAGUUCUAGCUAUCAUGAUCUCACACCAAUGUCCAGAGCUGGCUGAAGAUCCUACUCCAUUACCAUCUGAAGCAGAAGUGUCUGAAUCAGAAUGCCUCUGCCAUCUGAGUGAAGGACUAUGCCUUGUUGGGGCCAACAGAUGCCUAAAGCAUCUAAUCAGAUGAAAUGAGCCUAGGCUUCCUCUUCAGGGGAGAGGACUUGAGAAUCUGUAGUGAAAGGAGACUUUGCAGGUGAGAGGCUGAAGAACUGCUCCCCAGGUAUGUGCACUGCCUCCCUCACUCCUCAUGUGGCUUUAACUCCUCCUCCAAGUCCUCUCUGCCUGCUGCACUUUUUACCUCUGGGCCUUGCUUUCACCUCCACUUUUCUUCAAUCUACCCUUCACGUAGGCCUUUACUGAGAAAUAUCUCUGUAAGUAUGUGGUUGCCAAAAUGAAAAGAAAUAUCCCCCCUAUUUUUGUCACUAAAUUUCUGACUCUGGUAGCCCCAGUACUCAUUGGCUUUAACAGCUGCUCUCUAUUUCUCUGUGGGUACUCUCCUUGUGUCUGAAGGGGGAACCGGGAGAGCAGGGAUUCCUAAGCUAGAGGGACACAAAGCUUUCCCCUCUGUGGUUUGUCCCCAUACAUGCUGAGACACUCAUUCAUCAGCUCAGCCUUCUCACAGGUAUA